UCUCUCUCUCUCUCUCUCUCUCUCUCUCUCUCUCUCUCUCUCGUGUAAACGCUUUCUUCUUUCGUUUUAACGCUGCACUUGAAUCUUCUCCUUCGUCAGAGGCGGACCUGAGGUGCGACUCGAUCCCGUAGUAGAUUGCCUCAUCAGCAAGCUCUUGCAUGGAGAAUCUGCGAGAUGUGGAGGGGAGACGAUUUGAUCUGAGAAGAGAGAGGAGGACUGAGAAGAUCUGGGGAUCCAGAUCUGAAAACCAGCGUCGGAGACCUGCUCUUUGUUUGGCCUAAAAUGAUAUAUGUAAUGGUGGAGUCCAAGAGGUGGAGAACAAUGAGAUGCACAUUCCUUUAUCUUAAUUCAUAUAUUGUAAUUUAGUAUUUUGUAAUGUAAUGAAUAAAAAACAAAUAAUAUAAUAUGUAGUGGAUUAUAUUCUGAUGCAUGCAUACUUGCAUAGAUGAAUAUUGGAAAUAUUUUUUGGUUUUA